AUUGAACGCUGGCGGCAGGCCUAACACAUGCAAGUCGAACGAGUUGCGGACGGGUGAGUAAUGUCUGGGAAACUGCCCGAUGGAGGGGGAUAAUUAUUGGAAAUGGUAGCUAAUACCGCAUCCCAUCGGAUGUGUCCAGAUGGGCUUAGCUAGUAGGGGGGGUAUCGGCUCACACAGGCGACGAGCCCUAUCUGGUCUCAGAGGAUGACCAGCCACACUGGAACAUAGACACUGUCCAGCCUCCUACGGGAGGCAGCCGUGGGGAAUGUUGCGCAAUGGGCGCAAGCCUGAUGCAGCGAUGCCGCGUGUAUGAAGAAGGCCUUCGGGUUGUAAGGUACUUUCAGCGAGGAGGCGUUACUCGAAGAAGAAGCACCGGCUAACUCCGUGCCAGCAGCCGCGGUAAUAC
rnacentral:rRNA from 1 species